rnacentral:rRNA from 1 species
GCUAGUAAUCGCGGAUCAGCAUGCCGCGGUGAAUACGUUCCCGGGCCUUGUACACACCGCCCGUCACACCAUGAGAGUCGGGAACACCCGAAGCCCGUAGCCUAACUUGCAAGAGAGGGCGCGGUCGAAGGUGGGUUCGAUAAUUGGGGUGAAGUCGUAACAAGGUACC